rnacentral:rRNA from 1 species
UACAGAGGGUGCGAGCGUUGUUCGGAAUUAUUGGGCGUAAAGGGCGCGUAGGCGGCGCCACAAGUCACUUGUGAAAACUCUGGGCUCAACUCAGAGCCUGCAAGCGAAACUGUGGUGCUGGAGUAUGGGAGAGGUGCGUGGAAUUCCAGGUGUAGCGGUGAAAUGCGUAGAUAUCUGGAGGAACACCGGUGGCGAAGGCGGUUCUCUGGGCAUUACCUGACGCUGAGGAGCGAAAGUGUGGGGAGCGAACAGG